rnacentral:rRNA from 1 species
UACGGGGGGGGCAAGCGUUGUUCGGAAUUACUGGGCGUAAAGGGCUUGUAGGCGGCCAACUAAGUCAGACGUGAAAUCCCUCGGCUUAACCGGGGAACUGCGUCUGAUACUGGAUGGCUUGAGUUCGGGAGAGGGAUGCGGAAUUCCAGGUGUAGCGGUGAAAUGCGUAGAUAUCUGGAGGAACACCGGUGGCGAAGGCGGCAUCCUGGACCGACACUGACGCUGAGGAGCGAAAGCCAGGGGAGCAAACGGG